AGCAGUAUUGAACUGAAGAGUUUGAUCAUGGCUCAGAUUGAACGCUGGCGGCAGGCCUAACACAUGCAAGUCGAGCGGAUGAAGGGAGCUUGCUCCUGGAUUCAGCGGCGGACGGGUGAG
rnacentral:rRNA from 1 species